rfam:Hordeum vulgare subsp. vulgare, WGS project CAJW01000000 data, contig: morex_contig_138260
AUACUACUCCCUCCGAUCCAUAUCACUUGUCUUGGAUUUGUCCAGAUACAGAUGUAUCUAACACAAAAACAUCUCUAGAUACGUCCGUAUCUAGAUAAAUCAAAGACAAGUAAUGUGGGUCGGAGGAAGUACUAG